UGGGGAAUAUUGCACAAUGGGCGAAAGCCUGAUGCAGCGACGCCGCGUGCGGGAUGACGGCCUUCGGGUUGUAAACCGCUUUCGGCAGGGAAGAAGCCGCAAGGUGACGGUACCUGCAGAAGAAGCGCCGGCUAACUACGUGCCAGCAGCCGCGGUAAUACGUAGGGCGCAAGCGUUGUCCGGAAUUAUUGGGCGUAAAGAGCUCGUAGGCGGUUCGUCGCGUCUGCUGUGAAAUCCUCAGGCUCAACCUGGGGCGUGCAGUGGGUACGGGCGGACUAGAGUGCGGUAGGGGUGACUGGAAUUCCUGGUGUAGCGGUGGAAUGCGCAGAUAUCAGGAGGAACACCGAUGGCGAAGGCAGGUCACUGGGCCGCAACUGACGCUGAGGAGCGAAAGCAUGGGGAGCGAACAGGAUUAGAUACCCUGGUAGUCCAUGCCGUAAACGUUGGGCACUAGGUGUGGGUCCAUUCCACGGAUUCCGUGCCGCAGCAAAGCGCAUUAAGUGCCCCGCCUGGGGAGUACGGCCGCAA
rnacentral:rRNA from 1 species